GAGGCCCAAGCGGGCUUCGGCUGCUGCGAGUCCCCAGAGGCUCCCUCGGGCCUCACUCGCGGUGUCUCCUCCAGACGCCAGGGGCAGGCCACGAAGCCGAGGGCUCCGCGCGGCCGUGGGAGAAGCGGGGUGCACGGAGCCUUCCCGCGCCCAGACGCCGAGGGGAUGCAAACAGGGGAGCCGGUCAAACACGAAAAGCCAGAAAGCGCUGCAGAGCCGUGGAAGGUGCGCCCCGCUUCCGCUCCCCAUGCUGGUCCUCUGGGAACGGGGAUGUGAUCAUAAUUAUGCCGCCGCGCGAGCCAAUGGGGACGAGGGAACUCGGUCCUAAAAUCAUCCCAAAACCGAAGGCGAGCUCGAAAAUGCGGACACGGCCUGGGACCGGAGA
rnacentral:lncRNA from 1 species